GUGCUAACUUCAGCAGCACAUAUGUUAAAAUUGAAACAAUACAGAGAUUAGCAUGUCCUCUGUGCAAGAAUAACAUGCAAAUUCGUGAAAUGUGCCAUAUUUUU